UAGUCUGGGAAACUGCCUGAUGGAGGGGGAUAACUACUGGAAACGGUAGCUAAUACCGCAUAAUGUCGCAGGACCAAAGUGGGGGACCUUCGGGCCUCAUGCCAUCAGAUGUGCCCAGAUGGGAUUAGCUAGUAGGUGGGGUAAUGGCUCACCUAGGCGACGAUCCCUAGCUGGUCUGAGAGGAUGACCAGCCACACUGGAACUGAGACACGGUCCAG
rnacentral:rRNA from 1 species